rnacentral:rRNA from 1 species
UACAGGGGGUGCAAACGUUGCUCGGAAUUAUUGGGCGUAAAGCGCGCGUAGGCGGCUACUUAAGUCGGAUGUGAAAGCCCUUGGCUCAACUGAGGAAGUGCACCCGAAACUGAGUGGCUUGAGUACUAAAGAGGGUCGCGGAAUUCCCGGUGUAGAGGUGAAAUUCGUAGAUAUCAGGAGGAACACCGGUGGCGAAGGCGGUUCUCUGGGCAUUACCUGACGCUGAGGAGCGAAAGUGUGGGGAGCGAACAGG